CUUUCCCAUGCUGUGUAAAAUGACACAGAGCAUUCUGAUUGGCUUAAACCCAGAGUGCUCUGUGUCAUUUUACACAGCGUGGGA